rnacentral:tRNA from 1 species
AAAAGAUUUAAAUAUAUUUUCUGCUAAAAAAUAUUAAGCUAGUAGCUAUCUUUUG